rnacentral:lncRNA from 1 species
UAGAAAGGUCAGUCAGUAAAGGCAUUAAGUAUUCUGGACCAAAUGAGGGAUUUUGGGUGUAAACCAAAUAGGGUACUUAUCUGUACUUUGAUUCAGGGUCUAUGCAAAGAUGGGCAUGUGGAGGAAGCUCAUAAACUCAUUAUCAGAGUAGCUGAAAGUGGUCUUCCAUGUGAUUCUUGUUACAAUUUUCUAGUUUUAUCACUGUUUCGGAUUGGAAAACUCAAGGAGGCAGAAAUGUGUUUUAGGAGAAUGUUGGCUGGUGGCCUAAAGCCUGAUGGUUUGACCUCAAGCACAAUAAUGAGAUGGCUUUGUCAGCAGAGAAGGAUGCUUGAUGGAUAUCACUUGAUUGAUGCGAUUGAGCAGUCUGCAGGCGUAUCUUCUAUAGAUUCUGAACAAGCACAAUAAUGAGAUGGCUUUGUCGGCAGAGAAGGAUACUUGAUGGAUAUCACUUGAUUGAUGCGAUUGAGCAGUCCGCAGGCGUAUCUUCUAUGGAUUCUGAUAUCUAUUCUAUACUUA